GACGAACGCUGGCGGCGCGCCUAACACAUGCAAGUCGAACGAGAGAGAAGGAGCUUGCUUCUUCGAUCGAGUGGCGAACGGGUGAGUAACGCGUGAGGAACCUGCCUCAAAGAGGGGGACAACAGUUGGAAACGACUGCUAAUACCGCAUAAGCCCACGGGUCGGCAUCGACCAGAGGGAAAAGGAGCAAUCCGCUUUGAGAUGGCCUCGCGUCCGAUUAGCUAGUUGGUGAGGUAAUGGCCCACCAAGGCGACGAUCGGUAGCCGGACUGAGAGGUUGAACGGCCACAUUGGGACUGAGACACGGCCCAGACUCCUACGGGAGGCAGCAGUGGGGAAUAUUGCACAAUGGGGGAAACCCUGAUGCAGCGACGCCGCGUGGAGGAAGAAGGUCUUCGGAUUGUAAACUCC
rnacentral:rRNA from 1 species